UACAGAGGUCCCGAGCGUUGUUCGGAUUCACUGGGCGUAAAGGGUGCGUAGGUGGUGAGGUAAGUCGGAUGUGAAAUCUCCGGGCUCAACCCGGAAACUGCAUUGGAAACUACCUUGCUUGAGGGUUUGAGGGGGGACUGGAAUUCUCGGUGUAGCAGUGAAAUGAGUAGAUAUCGAGAGGAACACCAGUGGCGAAGGCGAGUCCCUGGAAAACACCUGACACUGAGGCACGAAAGCUAGGGGAGCAAACAGG
rnacentral:rRNA from 1 species